rnacentral:rRNA from 1 species
GGUUGCGAUCAUACCAGCACUAAUGCACCGGAUCCCAUCAGGACUCCGUAGUUAAGCGUGCUUGGGAGAGAGUAGUACUAGGAUGGGUGACCCCCUAGGAAGUCCUCGUGUUGCAAUCUC